AUUUUGCUAUGUUGACACUUUUUGACUAUCUCCUUAAACCUCUCUCAUGCUUCAAAAAUAGUUUCCGCAUCUUUCUGGUAGAAGUUAUGGAUUUCUCUUUUAAACUU
rnacentral:snoRNA from 1 species